GUUCAAUAUCAAUGGCGUCCCAGGAAGAAGAGUUGACGCUAAAGCUGGAGUUAGCGUGCUCGGAUUUGAAAACCGUCCUUCAAACCUCGACCAAGAUGGAGGAUAGCCUGGAAAAGAUGGAUAAAAGGUUCGCUCUUAUAGAUGAAACUCUGUCAACAACCUCCAAAAGAGUAGCUCCUUUGCAAUCUUUGUCCAUGGCCUCAAAAGCCCUCGAAACAAGAAUCAACAGAGCGGUCUCUCCUGCUCUUGCUCUUCUCGAUUGCUUCAAACUCUCCGAGUCUCUCCAGCGCAAGAUCCUCGAAGUUUCCUCCAAAUUAUCCGCAGAGGAAAAGCCAAAGAAACGGCUCAAACUCUUGCUUAGGUACGUUGAUUGUGUGGAUAAGUUAAACGCGGCUAUAAACGCAAUUAGUCAAGAUGGUGAACCAGUGAUUCAGAAGCUACAGGAGGUG
rnacentral:misc_RNA from 1 species